rnacentral:rRNA from 1 species
AUGAACGCUAGCGGCAGGCCUAACACAUGCAAGUCGAGGGGCAGCACAGGUAGCAAUACUGGGUGGCGACGGCGGAUGGGUGCGUAACGCGUAUGCAACCUACCAUUGAUUGGGGCAUAGCCCGAAGAAAUUCGGAUUAAUACUCCAUAAUAUUCAUCAAAGGCAUCUUUUAUGAAUUAAAGCUUUUGCGAUCAAUGAUGGGCAUGCGUGACAUUAGUUAGUUGGUGAGGUAACGGCUCACCAAAACGAUGAUGUCUAGGGGUUCUGAGAGGAUUAUCCCCCACACUGGUACUGAGACACGGACCAGACUCCUACGGGAGGCAGCAGUGAGGAAUAUUGGUCAAUGGGCGCAAGCCUGAACCAGCCAUCCCGCGUGCAGGAAGACGGCCCUAUGGGUUGUAAACUGCUUUUCCAGGGAGAGAAACUUACGCACGUGUUGCGUGACUGACGGUACCCUGGGAAUAAGCAUCGGCUAACUCCGUG